CCUCGGGUAUCAGCAGUGGGGAAUAUUGGACAAUGGGCGAAAGCCUGAUCCAGCCAUGCCGCGUGUGUGAAGAAGGCCUUCGGGUUGUAAAGCACUUUCAGUGGGGAAGAAAGCCUUGGGGCUAAUACCCUCGAGGAAGGACAUCACCCACAGAAGAAGCACCGGCUAACUCCGUGCCAGCAGCCGCGGUAAUACGGAGGGUGCGAGCGUUAAUCGGAAUUACUGGGCGUAAAGCGCGCGUAGGCGGUCUGAUAAGCCGGUUGUGAAAGCCCCGGGCUCAACCUGGGAACGGCAUCCGGAACUGUCAGGCUAGAGUGCAGGAGAGGAAGGUAGAAUUCCCGGUGUAGCGGUGAAAUGCGUAGAGAUCGGGAGGAAUACCAGUGGCGAAGGCGGCCUUCUGGACUGACACUGACGCUGAGGUGCGAAAGCGUGGGUAGCAAACAGGAUUAGAUACCCCAGUAGUC
rnacentral:rRNA from 1 species